AAUGAACGCUGGCGGCAGGCCUAACACAUGCAAGUCGAACGGGUCCUUCGGGACUAGUGGCGGACGGGUGAGUAACGCGUGGGAACGUGCCCCUUGGUACGGAAUAGCCCCGGGAAACUGGGAGUAAUACCGUAUGUGGUCGAGAGACGAAAGAUUUAUCGCCAAGGGAUCGGCCCGCGUUGGAUUAGGUAGUUGGAGGGGUAAUGGCCUACCAAGCCGACGAUCCAUAGCUGGUUUGAGAGGAUGAUCAGCCACACUGGGACUGAGACACGGCCCAGACUCCUACGGGAGGCAGCAGUGGGGAAUCUUAGACAAUGGGGGAAACCCUGAUCUAGCCAUGCCGCGUGAUCGAUGAAGGCCUUAGGGUUGUAAAGAUCUUUCAGGUGGGAGGAUAAUGACUGUACCACCAGAAGAAGCCCCGGCUAACUCCGUGCCAGCCGCCGCGGUAAAAC
rnacentral:rRNA from 1 species